GAGGUACCAUCCCUUAGUAAACAUUUGUCUCCCUCUAGCCCACAGGCGCCUACUUCUUGUUCCUGGUACAAGGACCCCAGAUACCUCUCCCUUGUUCUUUUACAGGAUCUGAGGAUUCCAAGAAUCUCCCUAAGCCUUCAGCCUCUCUCACUCUGCAUGGCAGCGUUCUCAUGACUGUGAGGAGCUACCAUAGAGACAGGUAAGAUGCCAUUUCUGCCUCAGAUAUUAAGGCCUUUGGAUAAGGCCAGGGCCCUUUGGUUACCUAUGAGAUUGCCACUGACCCCAGCUGUCCCCACUGCAGGGAACAUGUAGGGAACAGGGAAGUCCCAAGUAGGAGUUCUGGAUCAGGCUAGAACAUGAGAUUCUAGCAUAGGCUCUGCCGCUGAAACACGGGGAGGUCCUUGGACAAGUCCCUUCUUGUCUCUGGACAAGUUUCUUCUGCUCUCAUACGUAGGUCUUGGACUAAGGGGUCCCUAGAGCGUCUUCCAGCUCAAAACAUGUGAACUAAAUGGCUCCUCCCUAAAAACCCUACCCUGUCUGGUCCAGGGCCCUCUCCUUUUCUCUUUGGCCUGUAGCCAUCCCAAAGGAAAGCCCUCAGACUGGUGCAGGAGCACAAGAGAUAACAGAGUACAGAUAGACAUGCUGUUCCCUUCUAUAGGCCCAAAGUCUGAAAUUGAAGCACUGAUCCCAGUACUGUCCGUCUUAGCAAACACAAAGCCAGAGGCCGAGAGGCUGGCAGAGGGGUGGGCAUCACUUCUUUUGGUUAAAUGCCGACUGAUUCUAAUAUCUGGGGUCUUAUUGAACAGGCUCAAGGAAUUCACAUUCUCUUCACAGGUGAGCCCUGUUUGUAAGGUAGGUGGCUUGUUGUCUCAUAAUUUUUGUGGGGGUUAAGGAGUGUGGUUACUCUAAUCUGAUGCUUGACUGAGCUGAAGUCUGCCUGGCAGUCCUCUGCCUUGUUAAAAGACAUUGUUAAAAGUGCCCAAAGGAAAAGGGAGCCCUGCACUGAGGCUCUGAACAGUUGGCAUCUCUGUCCUUCCUCCCCAUAGCCCAGGAAGGAACAGAGGUUAGAAAUCUCCUCAUGGUGCUGACUGUCUUGGGUCUGUGUAAGAGGAAAGAAGAGAAAGACUCCAGAGGCUGGGAAUAAAGUUCUCCCGUAUGUUGUUCCUUGGCCACACUUUUCUAGUCAGUCAUCCUGACUUUUGUCUUGCCAUUAGACACCAAGUUCUGGAAGAGAGAGUGAGGCUUCACUGCAAGCCAAUCCAUGCACAAGUCAAGACAUCGCCCUGUGAUGACAAGUCCUCUUCAAAAUGAAGGACAGACAACCCCCCACCAAUGUUCCUGGCCAUAUAACUAGAGCAGGUGGAGCCAAGAUGUCAGAGUAAACCCGAGCAGCUUGAAAUCACCACAAGAAUCCUCUACAACCAAUAUUAAAACAUCGCCACAAAAUAAAUACAGGAGAGAAAGAAUCAACAAGGAGACACAAUGAAACAACUGUCAAGACAAGAAAAACCCAAAGGUGGUUGCCAAGAAACAGCAGCUGCAGGGCCCCCUCACAUCUGUGAUGUCAUGGCAUUCCGCCCUGACAUCACCCAGCUAUGGCAACGGAAUGGUCAUUUCUCAACGCACUAGAAGAACAGUUGGAGUUUCCAGAGGAUCCAGCCGCGAGUGUCCCAACCCUGACCCUGAGACUUGAGCUGCCCAUCUCAACUCUGGCUUCACUGUUGGAGAUGUGGGAGUCCGGAAGGAAAGAGAAGUGAACCAAAGGGAGACAAAGGUAAUGAGGGAAGGGAAAAAAGAAAGGGGGAAGAGUGCUGGUCCAAAACGAUGCAGGAAAGAGGGGUGGAGAGAAUUGUGGGAAUAAGGAGGAUAAAUAAAGAUUUAGUAAAAGUCCAUGGAUGAAAGAUUAAGGGGGAUCUUUAAAGACAAGCUAAAGGAGACAUAGUAAAGGGAGAGAAAGGUGGAAGAAAGGACAAGGGAGACAGGGGGACUGGACAGAAAGAGGGGCAGACAGAGUCUAGCCUUCUAGCUUUCAGAACUGCCCUCACCCCAUCUGACUUCUUGUUUUAGCUGCCAUUCUAUUACUCCCUAACUUUGGGCCUAUGUUUGAACUGGCCUGACUUAUUCUGGCUUUGUAAUGCUCAUCCCCAUCUCAAUGCCACCAACCCCAGACACCCCGGCCAAGAAGUAGAAAAUGAGAGCAGGGCUUCUGGACUAAGUGUCUGGAACUGAGGGUUUGGCUUAGCUUGGCUUCCACUUGCUGUUUGACCUUGGACAAGUCUCUAAACCACUCUCACCUUUGUUUUUCACAUCUGUAAAAUGAUGCAGUAAGAUGCAAUGAUUUUUACAGGGUUUGGGGAUUCUUCCCAUGAUCCAGUAGGAUGUAAGUUUCCUGAAGACAGAUUCAUUUUUGCCUUUCUGUCUCCAAUAGGAGGCACGGGAUGGCUCAUGGAAGGUAUGUAAUCAUUGUUGAGUCAAAUGGAAAUGUUUUAAAGAGGUGGGUGCCAUUGAAACUAGGGUGUGAGCAGCCAGAACCCCUUUCAUUUCCUCCGUUCCUCCCUGCUUCUUCCUUCUGCUUUGGAAGCUGAUUAACAGGCAAUAAGCGACUCCUGUAUGCCAAGCACUGAGGACAUGAAACCAGAGAAGAAGAGACCCUGCCCUCAAGGAGCUGACCGUUGGAGUGGGAUGAAGAAAUUGAGGCUGACAGACCAAGUGACUUGUCCAGAGGGUCCCAUAAGCCACUAAGUGUGUAAGAUGUCUCCAAAGGUGCUGAGGUCACUGAUCUUGAACUUGGCGAAAGGAAGGCCUGGGUUCUGGGCCCUCCUCGGCCUCUUCUCACUUGUAUGGCGGGGCCUGGCUGCUUACCUCAGUGAUCCAGAGUUUCUUCAUCUCAAAAAUGGGACUAACAAAGGAGCCUCCUUCACAGGGUGGAUAGGAGGGAUCAAGUGAGGUAAAGUAGGUAAAAAUGAAGACAGCUUUAGUGUGCUGUGCAAAGGUGAGUGAGCACGAUCCCUUUACUUUCACUUGAUCACCCAGUCACGGGUGGUACCUAUAGUGUGACAAAGGGCUUCCCUGCCCCAAGUGCGGUUUUCAGCACGAGAAAUCAGCAUCUCAUUCAUUAGACCAGCCUGAUUCUAGGAAUCAGAGGUACCUGGGCAUAGUGCGGUGUGAUUACAAAGACCUUUCCUUUUAUAUCCCCUUCAAGCCUCCCAGAAACCCCAGGAAGUACAAGUGUUAUUUCUGGCAUUUUCCAGAAUAGGAGACUUGGGCUCCGGGGGGGUCAAACACCACACCCGAGGCCACACUCCUGGGAAGCAGCAGAGGACAGACAAGGUUCAGCAUCCUUUCCUUGGCAGUGCCUUGUCUAGCACCGUGUUUCCCAGACUGCCAGAAAGGAUGAUUUGGACAUCAGAAGCCAAGCUGGCAUGAUAAGAGACCAGGAGAAAAGUUAGGGAAAUGAAUAGCUUCCAUAAGGACAAAUGUUUGGAAUAAAGAGGAGCUGAAAACCACAUAACUUUCCUAGCCAUAUAACUAGAGGUAGGUACACCUUCCUUCUCUCUCCCUCCCCACCUAUUUGCCACACAACACUCAGCAGGAUCCAAUGAAACUCUCCUUAGAAACAACCGAAUUUCAGGGGAACCCCAAAAACACUCACCCUGUCUCAUCUCACCCUUCCUUUCUCAGAACCUGAAGACCUAGACUCAGAGCAGGUGAAACUUCCAAAGGAGGAAGAAGUAUGUGAAGAAGAAGGGAAGAGAGGCCAGUUGUUACAAAUCAUCAGAGGUUUGUAUGGUGCUGGGCUUCCCUCUGCUAUUGCAUUUGCAUUGGAUCUCCCCUGCACCAGUUUACAAGAUUCCACCUCCAGCUACUUAAAUCCAAUUUAAUGAAAUGGAGGUGCUUGAAAGGAAAAUGAAGAUGGGGGCCCCUAAACCUCCUGGAAAGUAGGAGAGUUGUAUCUUCCUCUCAGUUCACAGUAGCUAGCAAAUCAGCAAAGCCAACUUUAGCCCAGUGGCCACUGUGGCACUGCUGGUUGUGUAGUCACAUUGAAAAUGACAUCCAAAUGGGGCACGGGCUUCCCGCUUCCCUCUGUCACAGUGGGUGGCCUCCACACAGCCUUUUUCACUGAUUGCUAGGAGGCCUCUGGCCAAUGUAAGAGUUUUUUCCUCUGCAAUUCAUCACAUUGUGAGGCUGGUCACUAGCCACCAUGAUGUCGUAGUAGUAACAUGGCUUGCUCUUGUUAACUUUUAAAAACCAGCAAGAAACAGUUAUCCUAUUCCCUUGAAAAACCAAAGUCACAAUGUCCUUGGCAACGUUUUUUAAGCUGAGAGAAAAGUAGCACACUGGCAGAAAUUGGGAUAGAACAAGACCUGGGGAGGGAGAGGUUACAGGUUUUAUAGUAUCCUAAAAAGGAUGGGAGAGGGCUUCAGGGAGUGUACAAGAAGAGGGACGUUUCUGCCUAGCCACAGAAGAUGCUUAUCAGCAGCUUGGAAUGUUGAGCAAGAUCUUCAGCUCCCAACUCCCACCAAAAAACCCCCAAACUCUCCAAAUGGACGGCUGCCAGAUUUGGGUCUUAGCUUGAGACCUCUAGGACCAAGAACUUUGCCACAUUCAAUCUGCCCUUGUGUCUGCCCUGGUACCCAUUUUUAUCCAUCUGUCUAUACUUAGAUACCAGUUGUAUCUAUCUCCAGCAUCAAUAGGCCCCCAAAUGACUGACCCUGGUCCCCAAUGUGUUCCUGCUGCCCCUGGUCCCCCUUCCUAUCCCUCUCCCCCAUUCCCCAGGCAGCAUGUAAAUUCACAUUCUGUAAAAAUCACUUUAUAUAGAGGUCACUUACUUAAAACGAUCUAAUACUGAAAAAGAAGUAUUCAAUAUAAUUUAUCUGGCAAGAGAUUAUUUGGCCUUUGCUCUGAAACCUUCAGUAAGCAAAUACCCACUGCAUCCCAAGGCAGCCUAGUCGGCUUUAGGAUGGCUCUGGUUUAGAAAAGGUUUCUUUUUCCCCUUGACAAAAAGCUUUAACUGGCCUCAUUGCAGUUUCCACUCACUGUCCUGGCUCUGUCCUGUUGGGCCAGACAGAACAAAUCUAGUCCUUCUUCCACAUGAUUGCAGACAGUUAUCAUGUCCUCCCAGAGUCUUUUCCAGACCAAAUACCGUCAGUUCCUUCAGUCAAUCUUAUAUGACUUGUACUCCAAGCCUUUCAUCAUUCUGGCUGCCAUUCUUUGAGCACUCUUCAACUUAUCACACAAGGGAGGGAAUACAUCCAAAUACAGGAGUUCAGGUGCUACCUGACCAACGGGGUGUAGAACAGGCCUAUCAUCUUUGUAAUCUCAGAAGCUCUGCCUCACAGUGAAACCUGAAAACUCAUUAGCUUCAUUGGCUGCUAUGUCAAAUUGCUUACUAGUAUGUUUCUUACAGUCCACUGAAACCCUCAGAUCACUUUCUAAGAAGCUGCUUGCUAUGCUCCUUAUACUUGCAUCGUUAAGAUUCGGAAUCAAGUGUAAGACUUUACAUUUCUCCCUAUUGAAUUUCAUCUCAUUAGAUUCAGCCCAGAGAUCUAAGAACUUGUUAAGAUGUUUUUAGAUCUCAACUCUGUCAUCCAGUCUGUUAGUAAUCCUUCUGAAUCUUGGUGCCAUCUGGGUGUCUGAUAAGCAUGCCAUCAAUGCCUUUAUUCAAGUUGCUGACAAAAGUAUUUUAUAUCACUGAGCCAAGAACAGACCACCAGGGAAUUCUAUUGAAGAUAUCUCACCAAGUUGAUGUUGGAACAAUAACUACUCUUGGAGCUCAGCCAUUCAAUCAGUUUCUAAUCCACAUCUUUUCCAAGAGAAUAAUUUGAGAUACUUUUUCAAACACUUUGCUACUCUGCAAAACUCAGGAUCAAGGAUCUCCACAACAAUCACGUUGCCAAAAAAGGAAAUGAGAUUGCCCUGGCAUGAUCUGUUCUAUUUUUUCCCCAUUACUAAGGAGUUAAUUCAGAAGAACAAGGUCUCGAGGCAGAAAAGAUGGGUUUGGGUAAGAACUGGAUGGGGUACAGGCAACAGCAGUACUCUAUAGGACUCUUCACCUGUAUUCCAUCAACUUCAGUUACUGGUGCUUGCUCCUACUUCUCAGGUAUAGAAUGGACUCCCCUCCAGAAGCCAAAAUUAAGUUUCCUAUGCCCCCUAUUCUGUCCUGAUUUGGGGCUACUCUCUAUUCUUUUUCUGUGACACCCUCACUCUUAUCUGUGGGCAUAGUCUGUAUCCCUGAGAAGGCAUCAGAAAGAGAUGCCAUAGGGAGGAAGGGAGAACAUAUUUCUUCAUUCCAGCUUUUAUGCCAGUGACUGGCAAACCAAUCAUAGGGUGGAAGAAACUAGCAAUACUGGCUCCUACUUAGGAGCUUCCUGGAAGCUAAAUCUCUAGGUCUCUUCAUUAACCGUUUCUUAAGGCAGUAACACUAAAACAUUUCCAGUGCCCUUUGAGGCCUGCCUUUCCCUUGAGCACACAGACCUAGCCAGUCCCAUACCGUUCCUUGAUCUGACAGCCAGCAAGGAUAACAUUUCUUCCUCUCCAGUCCUGGGGCACUCUCCCAUUUUCCACCAUUAAAAAAAUUCUUGAUACCUUCUCAGUAAUCACAUUUGCUAGUUCUUGAAACAAUAACUGCUGAAUUGUUGAGUGGUGAUAGUACUGGGGAGUAGAGAGAGCAGACACUAAAGUUUGUAAGCAUCUGUCUGGCAGACCCCAGAUUGCUUUUCAGUCCCUUCCCUUUAAUAUUCUAUUCUCAGGUGAAGGGAUUUCUAUGGGUUUGGCAGUCUUCACAAAGACAUGAGAUGCUUAACCUCUUAAAAAAUUGAUUUCCUCUGCAAUGUAGCCAGAAGGGCUAAGGCAGUGAUGGUGAAUCUUUUAGAGAUCAUGUGCCAUGCAAUGCCCCCACUCACCCACCAAGUGCCAAGAGCACCCUGCCAACCCCUUACCCCACACAGGGGAGGAAGGAAGCACUCCAAUUGGGCUACUGGGUGGAAAGGUGGGUAAAGUGAGGAAUGUCCUCAACAAGUGUAUAGACGGGGAGUGGAGUGGCCUGAGCACUCUACUCCCCUCUAGCUCUGCUGACUGUGAGCUGCCCACCUUACUCUGUGCUCCAAUUGGGCUGCUGGGCAGAGGGGUGGCAGAUGUGAAAAAAUGCCAGGCGUGAUAGAGAGGGGGAAGGGAACAGCUGUACCCAAGUCCCUCUGCCUUUCUAGUAAAGAACUCAGG